UUGGAAACAGUUUAAGGCCCAAAUACAUAUUUGUGUUUGUUUUAAUUCAUGAGAAUGAGUGCUCUGAAAUUUAAUUUCCCUUAGGAGCCAAGAAAGAUUAAUAACAACAACAAUGACAAAAAAAAAAAAAAAAAAAAAAAAACCAAAAAACAAAAAACACAACCCUCAUCCAGAAUGAAUAUGUGGAGAUAAGUCAUAAUACCUCCAGAACUGAUGGAGAAAGGAGAGCACAACACUGUCCAAGUGCACACUGGCCUGUUAACAGCCUCACCAUAUGAACCACUGUAUGUAUGCUCUGAACUUAGUCACCAGCAAAAUACAACAAAAGGCGUGUUUAAAAAUUAAUUUAAUGCUUGGCUAAAGCUUAAUUACAUAUAUAUUUUUCAAACGAUAGUCCUGAAUUUCUGAAAAGUUACUCUUCUGAAAAUCACAGAAUCAGAAAGCAUCAACCUUAAAACAAGUUUCUCUGAGUAUUUACAGUGUGGUAGAAACAUUACAGAAUACCAUGGAUAGUAAAUUGCCUGGGUGUGUCUGAUCAGCAAGGCAUGUUCUUUAUUGCAUAUAUAACUCACAUAUGUGGGAUUCAAAACAGGAUAGACUAUAGAAAUGCAUAUCUAUAGCUGAGCAGGGAAGACAAUAGUGAGAAAGGUCAGUCAGCCCAGGCCAUGCAGUUAGUUUGUGGCUCAUCCUACCCCACACUACUGCAUAUGUCGCCUCAGGCUCGUAUUAAACCCACAGCUGCCUCCAGGGCCGACUCCCAGAAGUCCCACACUCACUCAACGACAAAGUCUUAUUUCAGUUUUCAUUUUAAGGCAGCACAACUACAGUGACAGCAGUCACUGUGGGGGGUGAAGGUCAUCACCUGCCAGCCCUUCAGCUGCUGCAGUGCAGUAUUUCCCUAAGAUGAUUGCUAUUGGGUAAGUUCCUGCUGUUAAAAAGCCUCCUCUGUAGAAAAACACUGCAAAAUUUCCAGCAUGAAAAUCCAUGGUGGUAUAAAUAUACAUGCACACACACACACACACACACACACACACAGACACGCAAAAUUAUACAACUUACACUAAACACUCAUCAUUUAUAGAGCAUACGUAAACGAAGUUAAUUUAAUGACCAUAUAAAAUACUUCCAUAAACAAAAUAUGACAGGCAGUAAAGAAACAUCCAUAGACUCCUAGAAAUAAUCUGAGUUCCUUUCAUUCUCAAGAAAUCACAUUUAAGGACACGGUAUUAAUAUAAUGUUUUUGUAUUAAAACAAGAAUCAGUAUAUUACAGUUUAAGAAACUUUACAUAUAUACAAAAUGUACACACUGGGAAUGGCAGCAAAGCAAACACUUUUUGGUCGCAGAUCUAUUUUCCUUCAAUCAGAGACUUGACUUCCUUCACAUUGUGGUCACUUGCAACAGAUAUAGCGUGAUCCAAAGCCCGAACGCUUGCAAGAAGUUUUACUAUCUGUUUUAUAUUUUCCCUGAAAGAGAUAACAAAAUUUGUAAUAUUAUAUUGAGAUAAAAUUUGUUCUUGAUUUUACACUAACUUAGAGAAUCUGCAGUACAGCCUUCCAAGCAUGGAUUUUACGUAUGGAGAAGAAGACGUGGACGCUACAGCAGGUUUUACAGCAUCUGCAGGGCUGGCAUAUGGUUCACCUGCAAAGAUGCUUGCCACCAAACCUCUGUGGAGCCACUCUCCAGAUCCCACUAGUGGGAGGAGAGAACCAAAACCUGGAAGCCAUCCUGACUGCCCCACGGGCAACACGACAGCCCUGCCGUAAGUACUCUGCCUUACUUUGAAGAAACCCUGAAAUAUGAACAUCAGAAUUCUUGACUGGAUGAGUAAGCAUACAUCGCUGACUAAGAGGACAUACAGCAGGAGCCCCACCCCAAGGUUAUGUAGAUCAGGGAAAACAGAAGGGACAUCGACCAAGCUCCUUGUCCUGCUGCUAUGUGAACCAAGGCUUACAGAGCACUCAGGCUGGCCCUGAGCUCAUUUGGAAGCCCAGGCAAGCCUUGAACUUUUGAGAGUCUCCUCCUGACUCAGCCUCCUAAUAAGCUGUGGUCUCUGCCUUCCUAGAAAAUUUUCAUGAAAACCAGACAUAAGUUGUUCCCAAACCAUCAUGAAAUGGCCUUUAGUCCACGGUAUUAUGGAUCAAGGUAUAGAGUGAAGGCUGGGCUCUUCACACAAGGCUGUAUUUCAGUGGGCAUUCUUUCUACGUUUACAUCUCCAUGAUGACACCUCAAAGGCCAAGGAUCACUGCACCUAAAUUCACCCACUGUGAAUCUAUUCAAUUCCUCAGGAGACAAAAUUACAACUAUUCACUGCUCUAAGACUUACCAUAAGUCUUUUUCUAAAAGCUUCCAAAUUUAAUGUAUAGGGAUAGCGGGAUACAAAUUAAAAAAAAAUGUGUAUCUUGGUAGUUUUGUAACACUAAAUAAAUGUACAAUGAAAGGGAAUAUGGGGCUGGUGAAAUGGCUUGGCACUGACUGCUCUUCUGAAGGUCCCUGAGUUUAAAUCCCAGCCACCACAUGGUGGCUUAUAAUGAUCUGUAACGAGAUUUGACACCCUCAUCUGGUGUGUCUAAAGACAGAUACAGUGUACUCACAUAUAAUAAUAAGUAAAUCUUAAAAAAAAAAAGAGAGAAUAUAAUUAGUGUAUACCUUACAUACACAAAUAAAAUGAAACUGUUUAAAC
ensembl:processed_transcript 4930404I05Rik RIKEN cDNA 4930404I05 gene